UACGGGGGGGGGCAAGCGUUGUUCGGAAUUACUGGGCGUAAAGGGCUCGUAGGCGGCCAACUAAGUCAGACGUGAAAUCCCUCGGCUUAACCGGGGAACUGCGUCUGAUACUGGAUGGCUUGAGUUUGGGAGAGGGAUGCGGAAUUCCAGGUGUAGCGGUGAAAUGCGUAGAUAUCUGGAGGAACACCGGUGGCGAAGGCGGCAUCCUGGACCAAUACGUGACGCUGAGGAGCGAAAGCCAGGGGAGCAAACGGGG
rnacentral:rRNA from 1 species